UACGUAGGUGGCAAGCGUUGUCCGGAUUUAUUGGGUUUAAAGGGUGCGUAGGCGGCUUUGUAAGUCAGUGGUGAAAUACUCCAGCUUAACUGGAGGGGUGCCAUUGAUACUGCGGAGCUUGAGUACAGAUGAGGUAGGCGGAAUUGACGGUGUAGCGGUGAAAUGCAUAGAUAUCGUCAAGAACACCGAUAGCGAAGGCAGCUUACUGGGCUGUAACUGACGCUGAUGCACGAAAGUGUGGGGACCAAACAGG
rnacentral:rRNA from 1 species